UAGAGAGUUAGAAACAUCAAUGAGAGAGAAGCAUUGAUCAGCUGCCUCCUGCACAUCCCCUACGGGGGAUGUGCCCGCAGCCAAGGUACAUGCCCUUGACUGGAAUCGAACCUGGGACCCUUCAGUCCGCAGGCCAACGCUCUAUCCACUGAGCCAAACCGGUCAGGGCAAUUUAAUGCUUUUUAAGAAAAGAAAAUUGCAGCUGGUGGGAAGCUCGGCCCUAAAGAAGAUUCUGGGAUGUGUAGUCCAGAUGCCUCCUGUGAUGGGAGGACUUCCGCUCUUGGAAAGAGCAGACAUGUUCCUUAGGGAGGUUUAAUAAAGUGUUAUGCAUGUAUGGAGGCAUUUGGUUACCCGAGGGCGAGGCUAUGAACCCAGCUUCUUUCCGGGAAUUUGAAUCAGGCCGCCCUAGCGCCCCCGGGGGCGGGGCAGCAGCUCCGGUUCCCCCAGUGAUGCUGGGAAAUGUAGUCCGGGAGCUCCGCGAAGUCGGAGGCACUUCCGCUGCAGAAGGCCGAGCUCGCGGCCUCGGUUUCUCGGGGAGGUGAGUGAGCCGGGGAUCCCGCAGCCUCUCUCAGCUUUUCCGACCUAAUCCCAGGAUCAGCCGCCGGCCCUCGGUCACAGGCAGGAAAAGCUGCGGUCGGAGGCCGAGAGCGGGUUUGAGGGGCGGGGCUGCCGCUUGCCUUCCCCUGGGCCGGGCCCCUGCUUUGGGGGCGUUUCGCGAGUUCCCGCCUUAGGGGAGGACCGGGAUCCCGCACGGGAGCAACCAAGAGGCAAGAUCUAGAAAACUGGCUCUGAUGUGAGAUCUGGAUUCAGGGCCCACCAGCCUCUUGACCUCACUGCGCCUCAGCUUCCUUAUCUGUGAAAUGAGAACAGCAGUCGUCGUCACUGGCUGAGAACUUCCUACAGUGCCAGCUGAGAAUAGGCACAGAGGGGUCCGCGAUUGGAGCCAGGUCACACGACUGGUGCAGCAGUAGGUUCUUCACAGGUACCAUGAUGAAACAGUACAUGCCGGAUGCUUCUCAAGGCCCCUGCCGUGUCCUUGGUGCUUAUUUCAUGUUAAAUAUUGCCAUUUUUGUUGCUUUUAUCAUUACUGUGAUCACU